rnacentral:rRNA from 1 species
UACGUAGGGGGCUAGCGUUGUCCGGAAUCAUUGGGCGUAAAGCGCGUGUAGGCGGUCCGGUAAGUCCGCUGUGAAAGUCGGGGGCUCAACCCUCGGAUGCCGGUGGAUACUGUCGGGCUUGAGUACGGAAGAGGCGAGUGGAAUUCCUGGUGUAGCGGUGAAAUGCGCAGAUAUCAGGAGGAACACCAAUUGCGAAGGCAGCUCGCUGGGACGUUACUGACGCUGAGACGCGAAAGCGUGGGGAGCAAAC